rnacentral:rRNA from 1 species
CCGCCAGGGAACUACGAGCCUCAGCUUAAAACCCAAAAGACUUGGCGGUGCCCCACACCCCCCUAGAGGAGCCUGUUCUAUAAUCGAUUAUCCCCGCUGAACCUCACCAUUUCUUGCCCUUCCGCCUAUAUACCACCGUCGCCAGCCCACCCUAUGAAGGAACACAGUAGGCAUAAUGGUCUUCACCAAAACGUCAGGUCAAGGUGUAGCAUAUGAAAUGGCAAGAAAUGGGCUACAUUUUCUACUAUAGAAAACACGAAAGAUUUCAGUGAAACCUAAUCAGAAGGCGGAUUUAGCAGUAAAAAGAAAUUAGAGUAUUCUUUUUAAUUUGGCCCUAAGCGCGC